AAGCCUUUCGACAAAGAAAAGGAAAGAAUUUCAACGCAGGCUUAUCACUGCCAACGAGACGAAACAAAUUGAUGUUUUAUCACUAUAUAGGAUCAGAUUUCCUGGCCACCCAGACAACACAAGUGAAAAAUAUUUUGACGAAUUCAAAUCAAAAGUAAUGAUCACGAAGACGUAAUGAUCAUGAUUGACGUAAUAUCAUGAGUAUGUAGAAGUUUUAACGUCCGAGCAAAAGAGCAAGGAAAUCCACUACAAAGGAAUUUUUGCGUCAGCAACUUUAACUAAAAUAUUUCAAAGGAUGCACACAUAAAACCGGAGAUAAAAAAAAAGUGUUUGUUUCUAAUUGUUGGACUACAAAACAUGGCGAGCAGCUGUUAGUUCGAAGGAAUAUAAUAUAUUAUUUUAGCUGUAUUUUAUUAGGAAAUAAAGAAGUUCACAUUUCUAUUCAA